rnacentral:lncRNA from 1 species
GAGGAACGUCCGUCAUACAUCGCUACAAGGUGUGUAUGGAUAGGGAGGGUCGGGGAAUUGGGGCUGGAAGGGUUGGGAGGGUCGUGGCACGGGAGUUGGCGGGGUAUGGGGGUUAGGGAGGGUCGGGGAAUAGGGGUUGGGAGGGUUGGGAGGGUCGGGGCACUGGGGUUGGCGGGGUAUGGGGGAUAGGGAGGGUCGGGGAAUCGGGGCUGGGAGGGUUGGGAGGGUCGUGGCACGGGGGUUGGCGGGGUAUGGGGGUUAGGGAGGGUCGGGGAAUCACAUUUCACAACUCACUUUUCAUGUCCCCCCCUCCCUUUGCCCCCUAAGGCCUGCCACACCAGGGAGGACGUGGAGUGCUGGCACUUCUCCUCAAAGUUACCAAACAGCAUAUAAAGGGCUGCGGGUUCUCUGUCUAGAUCUUUUGCAUGGGGGAUCUUGGAAAACCAGCAAACCUACAUGGCUGGCGUAGCUACACAAACAAAAGCCUUUUUAUCCCCCGGUUUCCGAGCUUAAGUUUUCCCAAAGCUCUCAGCCCAGUGCAGAGAGACUGUACGUCCUGUACUUGAUCAAGUACUGCACACACAGUCUCUCUGCACUGGGCUGUGAGCUUUGGAAAAUAUAAAAGAUACCCGUGGGAGCAUUUUUUAGUCAUGAAGCUUCAGACUUAAGUCAGACUCUUCAUCUAUCUUCAUCUAGCUAUCCAUGCCUACAUACCUAAUCUAUCCAGAUAGACAGACAAACAGACAGAUGGGUAGUUGUAUACAAACAGACAGACAGCCCAAUGGCAUACUCCAGGCCGGUUCCGGCCCGGUUCCGACCUAACGGGUCCAGUUAACGAGAUGGGUAACCGGUCGGUAGGAUUACCGGGCGAACCGUUAUCCGUUAACCGUCCCCAGUAAUCGGUAACCGAUGUCGGUAACCUGGCAUGAGGAAAAAUGCAUUUCUGAUUGCAACCAGUUUCUUUGUGACAAUGCCCAUUGUCACAAGGUUCAUGCCCACGUGUCACACCCCGACAAGCUUAGGAGGUUAAGGCAAUGUGAAUGCCGGGUGACAGGGGUGACAGUCUUGUGCAGGCACAUUUGGAGACUAGUUUACACUGAGAUUGGGGUGAUGUUGGAUUAGAAUACUUGCAGUUCAUGAAAUUGAGGAAAUGUGUUGCAUAGGCAUAUCCAAACGUUUCAGAGGGACGUUGUUUCGCCCGUAACAAACUUGUUACGGGCGAAACAAACUGGAUUUCCACAGUCCCACCACUCAAAGAGCUCCCCACACCAUCGCAAAGUCCCUUUUUUAUUACAGACACAUGUAACGAGUUGUCAUAGCUUGAGAUUGUCGAUAUAUGACUGCUGGAUUGUGACCAGGCCAUCUCCUUACAUGUCUUGCUGCACCAGCAUGAGCAGUGAUCCCUUCUGUUCAAAAUUUUCAGGCAACAUCGCAAUGAGGCAANNNNNNNNNNNNNNNNNNNNNNNNNNNNNNNNNNNNNNNNNNNNNNNNNNNNNNNNNNNNNNNNNNNNNNNNNNNACGGUCGGUAACCGGCAUGUUUAUACCAUAGGGCAGACAGGCAGACACAAGCAGGUGAUGUUGGGGUAACAAAAACACACAGACAACCACACAAUCACAGCACUGUUGGGGCACAUGGUGGAGUUGGGGUAACAUGAAAACAUGCACACACACAGACAGAGAGAGAGACACACACACACACACAGAGAGAGAGAGAGAGAGACACACACACACACACAGAGACACACACAUACACGCAUACAAGCACACAGAGAGAGAGACACACACAUACAUACACACACACAGAGUCUCACACACAUACACACACACACACACACAGUCUCACACACACAGUCACACACACAUACACGCACACAGUCACACACACACACAGUCUCACACAUACAUGUACACACACACACAUUGUAGCAAGCUACAUUUCCCAUAGAAUAUUUCAACGAUUACUCUUGACAAUAACUGUUAAUUCGUUAAUGAUUCGACUCGAGUUUUGUACAUGUUAUGAGUUUCGUCACAUGUCUCGAACAUGGCGGUUGUUCGCAGCAAACCCUUAGAAUACUUCAACGAUUACUCUUGACAAUAACUGUUAUUUCGUUAAUGAUUCGACCCGAGUUUCGUACAUGUUACGAGUUUCGUCACAUGUCUCGAACAUGGCGGUUGUUCGUAGCAAACCUAAUGGGCUGGGGCCCCGGGGCCCCACCGACAUUAUCCUAGUACGGCAGGACCAUGGUAGGGAAUGUCCGGCAGGUAGGCCGAGAUAUAAGCUACCCGGGCGGGGUGCACUGGCCAGACACUGAAGUAUCACGAAUACUAGGUGUUCGGAGUUCAAGUCUCCGCUGCCGCCAUAUAGAUUGUUUUUGUAUACGCGUCUAUGCAGACUAGUGCUUGCCUCGGCGAGGACUGUCAACUCAACGCUUCCGGGUAACAGGCUGUUGGGAGUUAGAGAUUGAUCAACGUCAUGACCAACCUAACAGCUGUGAGCACACAGCACGCACCUGCAGGCUUUGUGACUGCAGGGCGGUUCAAGGCGAAAUGCAUGCCUUUGUGAAAUGCCCGGUGUACACUAGUACACGGGCUAAGUACGAACAUGACCUCGCGUUUCAAGGGUUCAACGUGCACACGAUUUCACUGAGGCCCCACCCCUGGCACUAGCCAGGUUCCCCUCGGAAGUCUGGGAGACCCGGCACGUUGCUCUAUGGCGCUUCAUAUGCUCAAGUGGACGAGGGAGGACAAUGAUGGUCCACCAUGUAACUGCACUUCAAACGAUUUACCGUCCAUGGGCACGCCAGCUUUUAUGGACAACCCCGCACUUGUAUGGAACUUGUAACACACUCAAACACAUACAAAGACAGACACACAGACACACCCACCCACCCAUUUCAGUCAAACACACACACACACACAGACAGACAGACACACGGACAGACAAACAGAGACAGACAAAAGGAGAGACACANNNNNNNNNNNNNNNNNNNNNNNNNNNNNNNNNNNNNNNNNNNNNNNNNNUCUCCGAGCUUAAGUUUUCCCAAAGCUCUCAGCCCAGUGCAGAGAGACUGUACGUCCUGUACUUGAUCAAGUACUGCACAUACAGUCUCUCUGCACUGGGCUGUGAGCUUUGGAAAAUAUAAAAGAUACCCGUGGGAGCAUUUNUUAGUCAUGAAGCUUCAGACUUAAGUCAGACUCUUCAUCUAUCUUCAUCUAGCUAUCCAUGCCUACGUACCUAAUCUAUCGAGAUAGACAGACAAACAGACAGAUGGGUAGUUGUAUACAAACAGACAGACAGACAGGCAGACACAAGCAGGUGAUGUUGGGGUAACAAAAACACACAGACAACCACACAAUCACAGCACUGUUGGGGCACAUGGUGGAGUUGGGGUAACAUGAAAACAUGCACACACACAGACAGAGAGAGAGAGACACACACACACACACACACACAGAGAGAGAGAGACACACACACACACACACAGACACACACACACACACAGAGAGACACACACACACAUAGACACACACACACACACAGAGAGAGACACAUACACGCACACAAGCACACAGAGAGAGAGAGACACACACACAUAGAUACACACACAGAGUCUCACACACACACAGAGUCUCACACACACAGUCACACACACAUACACGCACACAGUCACACACACACAGUCUCACACAUACAUGUACACACACAUUGUAGCAAGCUACAUUUCCCAUAGAAUAUUUCAACGAUUACUCUUGACAAUAACUGUUAAUUCGUUAAUGAUUCGACUCGAGUUUUGUACAUGUUAUGAGUUUCGUCACAUGUCUCGAACAUGGCGGUUGUUCGCAGCAAACCCUUAGAAUACUUCAACGAUUACUCUUGACAAUAACUGUUAUUUCGUUAACGAUUCGACCCGAGUUUCGUACAUGUUACGAGUUUCGUCACAUGUCUCGAAUAUGGCGGUUGUUCGUAGCAAACCUAAUGGGCUGGGGCCCCGGGGCCCCACCGACAUUAUCCUAGUACUGCAGGACCAUGGUAGGGAAUGUCCGGCAGGUAGGCCGAGAUAUAAGCUACCCGGGCGGGGUGCACUGGCCAGACACUGAAGUAUCACGAAUACUAGGUGUUCGGAGUUCAAGUCUCCGCUGCCGCCAUAUAGAUUGUUUUUGUAUACGCGUCUAUGCAGACUAGUGCUUGCCUCGGCGAGGACUGUCAACUCAACGCUUCCGGGUAACAGGCUGUUGGGAGUUAGAGAUUGAUCAACGUCAUGACCAACCUAACAGCUGUGAGCACACAGCACGCACCUGCAGGCUUUGUGACUGCAGGGCGGUUCAAGGCGAAAUGCAUGCCUUUGUGAAAUGCCUGGCGUACACUAGUACACGGGCCAAGUACGAACAUGACCUCGCGUUUCAAGGGUACAACGUGCGCACGAUUUGACUGAGGCCCCACCCCUGGCACUAGCCAGGUUCCCCUCGGAAGUCUGGGAGACCCGGCACGUUGCUCUAUGGCGCUUCAUAUGCUCAAGUGGACGAGGGAGGACAAUGAUGGUCCACCAUGUAACUGCACUUCAAACGAUUUACCGUCCAUGGGCACGCCAGCUUUUAUGUACAACCCCGCACUUGUAUGGAACUUGUAACACUACAGACAGACAGAGACAGACCGACAGACAGAGACAGGCAGACAGACAGACAGACAGACAGACAGACAGACGUCCUUGGUGGAGUCCCAUGGUGGAGUACUCCUCAGGCUACAUCAACGCUUGUGGCACCAGCUCGAUUUCUUCUCUCUCUCUGUCUCUUCUCUCUCUUCUCUCUUUCUGUCUGUGUGUGUAAACACUCAUGUGGUACACACACACGCCCCCCAUGUACACACAAGCAGGCGAUGUUGGGGUAACAAUAAAACACACAACCACCCACACACAACCUCACACGCACACACAUGACUGUUGGGGUACAUGGUAGUGUUGGGGUAACAUGAAACACACGCAAUCACAGUCCUGAUGGGGCACAUGAUGGGGUUGGGGUAACAUGAAAACAUGCACACACACGGCCACAGAACUAUUCGGGUAUAUGUUGGUGUUGGGGUAACAUAAGACACAGAGACACACAGACAGACAGAGACAGAGAGACACAAACUCACACACACAGAGUCACACAGAGUCACACAGAGUCACACACAGUCACACACAGAGGCACAGAGACACACAUACAUAAACAGAGACACACACAGUCAAACGCACACAAAGACAGACACACACAGUCAAACACACACUAAGACAGAGACACAUACAUACACACAAAGACAGAGACACACACACACACACACACAUACACACAUACACACAUACACACAGACAUACUCACACACAUAAACCUGCCUGUCAUGCAUUAUUCUUCUACAUCAUAUCCUGUCAGCCAAACAUCUCAUUUCCGAAUUGGUGGGUGCCCAUCAAACAGAUAGAGCAGCAUCCGAGCAGCAUCUCCUACUUCCUGCUCUGCUGCCGCUGAAAUGUUGCUGCUGCUUCCGAAACGGAGGAUGCUGCCCUGCUGCACCGGAGGCAGGCGGCUAUAGCCCAUGCUACCAUCCCGUCCUUGAUGACCACGCCGGUUCUCAGCACGUGUUCCCCACACAAGAUGAAACGGGUUGAUGCAUGCACGCUCGUCACAGAUGUGCAUCACAUCAUACUGUGUGUGCGGCAGCACAUGUUGUUGUUGAGGUUGCUGCUGGGGUUGUUGCUGCUGCAUAGACGGGACAGCAGACACUGGAUGAUGGUUGGGCAACAGGAGGAAUGGAGGAGGUCCACGGAAGGCCCACAAAAUGAGCCGGCAUGCAUUUGUGGAGCUUGUGUACACAUCAAGAUCCGCACCCCCCUUACUGCAAUAAGCGGCCUUGGUGUUCUUGCAUUUUACCUGUGUCUUCUUGCCCCGCUGCAGCUGUUGCUUCUGGGGUUUGGUGCCCUGCUUCUUGGGGCGGGCAUCCUGCUGCGCCGUCAUUGUGUUCUGCUGCUUCUGCCGCUGCUGCUGCUGCUGCUGCUGCUGCUGCUGGCUUCUGGUGUUUGGACGACGGUGGCUGUUGCUCCCAGGAGCAGCAGCAGCCGCCGCCGCCGCCGCCGCCGCCGCAGCUGCAGCCGCAGCAGCCGCCGCAGCCGCCGCAGCCACAGCAGCAGCAGCAGCGCCACCAAACAGCAGGCGUGCCUUCUUGUUUGGGUAUUCCUUCCGUCGUGGCAUCAUCAUUGCUGGUGGCUGUCGUGUUGGCGGCUUGAUUGUUGUUGUGAUGGUUGCAGGCGGGGUGGUGGGCAGGGUUUCAGCAUUAUGAAUGGUGGAGAUGAUGUGCUGCUGCUGCUGCUGCUGCUGUGGUGGUGGCGGUGGUGGCAGCGACGGUUUGGAGGGGCUUGCUGCUGCUAGUCUACUUUCUGCUCCUACUCCUACUCCUGCUCCUGCUCCUCCGCCUCGAUCUUUAUCCAGCAUCAUCUCCUGCUCCUGCUCCUGCUCCUGCUCCUGCUCCUGCUCCUGCUCCUGCUCCUGCUCCUGCUCCUGCUCCUGCUCCUGCUCCUGCUCCUGCUCCUGCUCCUGCUCCUGCUCCUGCUCCUGCUCCUGCUCCUGCUCCUGCUCCUGCUCCUCCUCCACAGCAGUGCUGCUGAAAGCUCUCCACCUCUCAGCCUGAAGUUCCUCCUCCUCCUCCUCCUCCUCCUCCUCCUCCUCCUCCUCCUCCUCCUCCUCCUCCUCCUCGUCCCCCUCCCGCCAGCACUCUAUAAUAAUAAUAGCACGUGCCGCCUCCUCACGUACGUUUUGCUUUUCCUGCUUCUUCCUGUCCUGCAGCAUGCAGAAAAAAAACGUUAUAUUAUAAUAUAUCUACAUUAAGAAAAAACACAUUUUCUUGUUUCAACAAUUCAACAAUGAUUGUUAUUAUUUAUAAAACAAAAGUUGAAGAAAGCUUAAUACAUCGUCUCACGCUGCUGCUGGACACGUCGAUUAACAUAACGCGUCAGCGAUGAACCCAAAUCGCAAUGAUGAUGAUGCUAUGUGCCCGCUUCCGCUCCCGUACUUAUACUUAUUACUUUUCUUAUUACUGCUAAUUGUAAAAACUUUGAGCGACUCUUCCCGGCAAAAUUUUAAUAACGAUGACGACGACGACGACGACGUCGAGGAUUGACGACCAGACCCCCACCAGCGAGCGCGAUCGCAUCGCAUAUUCUUAUUCUUAUUCUUAUCCUUAUUCUUGUUCUGAUCACAGAGCACAGCAGAGGCGGCACAGUAAAGUUUUAGUGGUGGUGGAUCAUCGGCGGGUUGGCACGCUUGUGCACGCGGCGAGAUUGUUGUUGGUAUAUAUACCGUUAGGGUUAUUAUUAUUACUUUACAUAUGUGCCAAAUCGUGCCAAGUAGAUACAGCAGCAUUGUUUGAUUGUGUUGGUGUAGAUAUGCAUAUAGAGAGAGAUCGUGUGUCCGACGAGAAGGGAAAAGGGAGCAUACACAACAACAACAACAAUAUGUACAACUACUACGUGGGUGCAUCAUCGCCACACCGUCGUGCAUGCGCGUGUCCCAUAAUAUCCACAUACCCGCGGAGCCAUCAUAUGCUGCUGCGUAUGUGUANNNNNNNNNNNNNNNNNNNNNNNNNNNNNNNNNNNNNNNNNNNNNNNNNNUACAUCAUAUCCUGUCAGCCAGCCAAACAACUCAUUUCCGAAUUGGUGGGUGCCCAUCAAACAGAUAGAGCAACAUCCGAGCAGCAUCUCCUACUUCCUGCUCUGCUGCCGCUGAAAUGUUGCUGCUGCUUCCGAAACGGAGGAUGCUGCCCUGCUGCACCGGAGGCAGGCGGCUAUAGCCCAUGCUACCAUCCCGUCCUUGAUGACCACGCCGGUUCUCAGCACAUGUUCCCCACACAAGAUGAAACGGGUUGAUGCAUGCACGCUCGUCACAGAUGUGCAUCGCAUCAUACUGUGUGUGCGGCAGCACAUGUUGUUGUUGAGGUUGCUGCUGGGGUUGUUGCUGCUGCAUAGACGGGACAGCAGACACUGGAUGAUGGUUGGGCAACAGGAGGGAUGGAGGAGGUCCACGGAAGGCCCACAAAAUGAGCCGGCAUGCGUUUGUGGAGCUUGUGUACACAUCAAGAUCCGCACCCCCCUUACUGCAAUAAGCGGCCUUGGUGUUCUUGCAUUUUACCUGUGUCUUCUUGCCCCGCUGCAGCUUUUGCUUCUGGGGUUUGGUGCCCUGAUUCUUGGGGCGGGCAUCCUGCUGCACCGUCAUUGUGUUCUGCUGCUUCUGCUGCUUCUGCUGCUGCUGCUGGCUUCUGGUGUUUGGACGACAGUGGCUGUCGCUCCCAGGAGCAGCAGCAGCAGCAGCAUCCAUGGGCAGCUCUUGUUUUUGCGGCUGCUUCUGGAGUGAUACUAAUUGCCAUGGUCCUGUGAUCAUGACCCGGGGAUAGUCACUGCGAUGCUGCUUGCUGAUGAUAAUGUCGAUCUUUGCACCAGCAGCACCAGCAGCGCCAGCAGCAUCAGCAGCACCAGCAGCACCAGCACCAGCAGCACCAGCAGCACCAGCACCACCUCCACCGUGACCACCACCACCACGACCACCACAACCACCACCACCACAACCACCACCAGCAGCAGCACCGGCAGCAGCACCAGCAGCUGCUGCUGUGGUGCAUUGGAGCACCUGGAAGGGGUUCAUGUGUUUGACAUGAUGGAACGGCUGUACCUCCUGGAUCAUGUCACCGUGAUGUUUGCUGUACACUUGUUCAUGGCCGGGAUAGGAUGUUCGUUCCCCACCCUUUUUGGAGGGGGAGGACUUGCACAUGAAACAACAUGGAGACAUGCUGAGAGCCUCCCUCAUGUUGCAGCAACCGUGCAUCAUCCGCGCUGCCACUGUAGCAGGUGCAGUCGUUGUUGUAGCCAACCUGUUGGUCAUAUUAUCCUCCUCCUCCUUCUCCUCCUCCUCCUCCGCCGCCGCCGCCGCCGCUGCCGCCGCCACCUUCUGCUCCUCCUCCUCCUCACCAUCCUCCUCACCAUCCUCAUCCUCAUAAUCACCAUCAUGAUGUGCAGUAGUAAUGGUGGCACUGCUGCCAGUGGUGCAUUGCUGCUGCUGCUGCUGCUGCUGCUGCUGCUGCUGCUGCUGCUCAUUACUAUAGCGGUAGCAGAUGGGAAGCUGCAGCAGCAUUGCAUUUUGGAUGACCAGGUUGGCAUCCUCAUCUGCAGGGUCGAGUUGCAGUCUUCGAGCAAUAACCUGCGCCCUGUGGUUCCACCCCGGAACAUCUUGUGCAGCUACAAUUCGGAACUUGGGGCGCAGACGGCUGCCAAUAGCUGCAAGGAUGGCAUACGUGCGGCACAGCAGCAUGACAUCGCCAUCGUCGGCAACAGGAGGGUGAUGUCUUGUGUGUGGCACCCAGCUGAGGAUUCCCAACAUAUGGACCCCACAUCUGUACAGCCGCUGCUUGACAUCUUCAUCUGUCCACCUGUGCAACAUAUUGAGAGACAGAUAUACACACACACACACACACACACACACACACAGAGACGGAGAGACGGAGAGACGGAGAGAGGUGUUAUAUAAAAAAACCUACAGGUUAAACAUAUGUAACCCUAAGUCCUAGCGGUAAACAUAGUGUAUGUGUGAAUGUAUGUAUGUGUGUGUGUGUGAAUGUAUGUAUGUGUGUAUGUAUGUGUGUGUGUAAGGAAGAAAGCUAUAAUAUACAGCCUGCUGCCUCUCUAUAUAUCUAUACCUUCUUUGUGGGUCACGGUGGUGGCCUCGGGCAGUGGAUCUGUGGUUGACAACUGCUGGUGGCUGCUUCUUCUUCCACCAUCUGGCAGUAGCACUAGUAGUAGCAGCAGCAGCAGCAGCAGCCGCAGCCGCAGCAGCUGCAGCAGCAGCAGCAGCACCAUCAUCAUCGUCAUCGUCAUCAUCAUCAUCAUCAGCAGCCGCACCCGCAGCAGCAGCCGCCGCUGCCGCAGCUGCCGCCGCCGCCGCAGCCGCCGCCGCCGCCGCAGCAGCAGCAGCACCAAACAGCAGGCGUGCCUUCUUGUUUGGGUAUUCCUUCCGUCGUGGCAUUAUCAUUGCUGGUGGCUGUCGUGUUGGUGGCUUGAUUGUUGUUGUGAUGGUUGCAGGCGGGGUGGUGGGCAGGGUUUCAGCAUUAUGAAUGGUGGAGAUGAUGUGCUGCUGCUGCUGCUGCUGCUGCUGCUGCUGCUGCUGCUGUGGUGGUGGCGGUGGUGGCAGCGACGGUUUGGAGGGGCUUGCUGCUGCUAGUCUACUUCUUUCUGCUCCUACUCCUACUCCUGCUCCUGCUCCUCCGCCUCGAUCUUUAUCCAGCAUCACCUCCUGCUCCUGCUCCUGCUCCUCCUCCCCAGCAGUGCGGCUGCUCUCCACCUCUCAGCCUGAAUCUCCUCCUCCUGCUCCCAAACCUCUUCCUCCUCUUCCCCCUCCCGCCAGCACUCUAUAAUAAUAGCACGUGCCGCCUCACGUACGUCUUGCUUUUCCUGCUUCUUCCUGCAGCAUGCAGAAAAAAAACGAUAUAUUAUUAUAUAUACAUUAAAAAACACAUUUUCUUGUUUCAAUUCAACAAUGAUUGUUAUUAUCAAUAAACCAAAAGUUGAGCUGCACAAGUCGGUAAAUAUAUCACGUCAGCGAACAACCCUGACCGCAACCGCAGUUGUUGCAUCAGCCGUGACUUGAACCCACGUUCACCUAUUGCGCAUUCGUAUUGCAAUUACUACAAUGUCUCAGCACUUAUUAGGCUCACUCACCACUCCUCUCCGGGAGUAGGCGAUGACUUUGACCGGGCAGCGUUAGCCUAUAUCCUAUAACUUUCUUGUGAAUCGCCCUUACUGCCGGCGUGUCCUUUCGAGGACGCUAAAGCUGUUUCUUUGUGCUUUUGUUGCGGUGUAUUGAUUGGUAUUUGUCUUGUUCCGUGGCUCGCGCGCAUUAGACACAUGUCUGUUUCUGCUUCUUCGCGGCUUGUUUUCUACUUGGCGCCUGCUCCAUAAAUAGAAUUUUAAAAACGUCCUGAUAGCUCUCGCUGUGACGGUCUCAUUUCAAUUGUCUGUUUGUCGUCGGCGAGCGGUGAGAAGUAGGGGCGGCGCACUUUAUUACUAAUAAUAAUGACGUAUAGUACGACAAAGCACACAUGAGCAGCACGGCUGCUGUGCUUCUUCUUUUGCGGUUUCCGUCGUCGUUGUUGUUGUUGUUGUGUACCGAUUAUUAUUUUGUUGUUGUUACAUUCAUUAUUGUUGACCCUAAGUAUUCAAGUAAUAAUAUAUAAUGCAUGUGCCGCAGAACAUGAUGAUGAAUGAUGAUGCUAUGUGCCCGCUUCCGCUCCCGUACUUAUACUUAUUACUUUUCUUAUUACUACUACUAAUUGUAAAAACUUUGAGCGACUCUUCCCGGCAAUUUUUAUAACGAUGACGACGACGACGACGACGAGGACGAGGAUGAGGACGAGGAUUGACGACCAGACACCACCACCAGCGAGCGCGAUCGCAUCGCAUAUCAUUAUAUUCUUAUUCUGAUCAUCACAGAGCACAGCAGAGGCGGCACAGCAAAGUUUUAGUGGUGGUGGAUCAUCGGCGUGUUGUGCACGCGGCAUUGUGUUGUGCACGCGGCGAGAUUGUUGUUGGUAUAUAUACCGUUAGGGUUAUUAUUAUUAUUAUUUUACAUAUGUGCCAAAUCGUGCCAAGUUGAUACAGCAGCAUUGUUUGAUUGUGUUGGUGUAUAUAUGCAUAUAGAGAGAUCGUGUGUCCGACGAGAAGGGAAAAGGGAGCAUACACAACAACAACAACAUGUACAACUAUACGUGGGUGCAUCAUCGCCACACCGUCGUGCAUGCGCGUGUCCCAUAUAAUAUCCACAUACCCGCGGAGCCAUCAUAUGCUGCGUAUGUGUACUACUACUAAUAAAGUAGUAUCACGUACAGUACGACAUGUACAACAACCCAACAGACAGACCAACAACAUACAUCGCAAGUGCAGUGCGCGGAUAUACAUACAUACAUACAUACAUACAUACAUACAUACACACACCCACAGUCUAAGUAUUUAAUAAAAACUCUCCCACAGUCUCCCUCGACAUCAUCCGCUCAGUCUCGCCGUCCGUAUCCGUAUCGCCGGUCCCCAUCGCCAUCGUCUCCCGGGGCCGGUCCCUCCCUCCAUAUAGGUAGGUUCUCUAGGUAUAUAAUAUCGUGGUGUACAACAGAGUGUGCACGUGAGCCGUCAUCAACGUAUAUAAGAUACAGCAUACGUGUCUGCACCACAUAGAUAGACAUAUGUACGUGUGCACAUCUCUGAGCAGCCCUGUGCAUGGUCUCCGCUUGAUAAUAGAUGAGGUUGUUAUCAUCACCUAGUUCAUACAUACAUGCAUGCAUACCCUGCUCUGUGAAGAUGACAAAAAAGAGGUAUAGGUAUAGGUACAACUACUACUACUACUACUACUACUACUACUACCACUACUAUCUGGAUUCUUUUGCCUGGGUGGCUGGCAAUAAUAAUUAUAUAUUUCAAAGUUACUCUGCUGCGGCCGCCAUAUGUAUUAUAUAGCAUCAUCCCUAUGGCAUACUCCAGGCCGGUUCCGGCCCGGUUCCGACCUAACGGGUCCAGUUAACGAGAUCGGUAACCGGUCGGUAGGAUUACCGGGCGAACCGUUAUCCGUUAACCGUCCCCAGUAAUCGGUAACCGAUGUCGGUAACCUGGCAUGAGCCAAAAUGAAAUUAAUACUGAGAUAUCUAAGAUGAGAAUGUAGUAUGAGUAAUGCUAAAAAUUACUCAUAGAUAGGUACGAUGACCGUACACACAAAUCGAAAUUGAAAUACAGGAGCCACUAAAUUGUUUGGCUAAAUUACUUUAGCCGUAUAUUGUGAAGACAUUCCAUUUAGCAUCACUGUGUCCCCCUACCAAAAUGGAAGCGUGCUAAAGAACGUUCCUGAGAACGCUAAGAAUGCUAAGAACGGCUUAAGAAUGCUGGUGCUGCUGAGAAUGAUCUUAUGCCAGUCUCAAGCAUUCUUAUGACGGUUUAAAGAAUCGACAAAAGGGUAGGUGUUGGUAGUUGACAGUUUAGCCAGAGGAUCAUUUAGCCUGGCUGCUAAUUGUGUUGCAUGUUACUUCACCACACUUGUGUAUUGUGUAGGCAAAAAGCGCCAACUAAUGGGCCUGCCGGCUGUCCCUCCACAAGGAGAGAAGUACAAUGCGGACAAACUCUUGUUGGAGGUGAAGGAGGCGUUUGGUCAUCAUGACUAUUCAUAGAAGGGCAUGGCUGGACAGGAUACCGCAAAUGCUGGUGAGAUUUUUACCCGCUGAACCUGUUGGCUAUUGUGUGAACAUUUAUGGCAUAUCCACCUCACCAUGCAGCAGGUGUUGUAGUUGAGUGUUUGGGGUGUCACUACCUCGUGCUUUGAAUUAGUAUGCUUUGCAUUAUCAUUUGUAUAUUGUCCUAUGUACUGUAUCACCUCACUAUUGUAUAACACUCUGCAGGUGGGGAGUUGGAGGCCCUAUGGCAUAAACAUGCCGGUUACCGACCGUUNNNNNNNNNNNNNNNNNNNNNNNNNNNNNNNNNNNNNNNNNNNNNNNNNNUUUCAAGGUAAAUGAAUGCUUAUGUAUUCGUCCGUUAGUAGCGUGAAGCUUUGAACACUCUUUGUACGGCAGAUUCGGCACAAUGUUUUGCCUCAUUGCGAUGUUGCCUGAAAUUUUUGAACAGAAGGGAUCACUGCUCAUGCUGGUGCAGCAAGACAUGUAAGGAGAUGGCCUGGUCACAAUCCAGCAGUCAUAUAUCGACAAUCUCAAGCUAUGACAACUUGUUACAUGUGUCUGUAAUAAAAAAGGGACUUUGCGAUGGUGUGGGGAGCUCUUUGAGUGGUGGGACUGUGGAAAUCCAGUUUGUUUCGCCCGUAACAAGUUUGUUACGGGCGAAACAACGUCCCUCUGAAACGUUUGGAUAUGCCUAUGCAACACAUUUCCUCAAUUUCAUGAACUGCAAGUAUUCUAAUCCAACAUCACCCCAAUCUCAGUGUAAACUAGUCUCCAAAUGUGCCUGCACAAGACUGUCACCCCUGUCACCCGGCAUUCACAUUGCCUUAACCUCCUCAAGCUUGUCGGGGUGUGACACGUGGGCAUGAACCUUGUGACAAUGGGCAUUGUCACAAAGAAACUGGUUGCAAUCAGAAAUGCAUUUUUGCUCAUGCCAGGUUACCGACAUCGGUUACCGAUUACUGGGGACGGUUAACGGAUAACGGUUUGCCCGGUAAUCCUACCGACCGGUUACCCAUCUCGUUAACUGGACCCGUUAGGUCGGAACCGGGCCGGAACCGGCCUGGAGUAUGCCGUUGGGAGGUCAACCCCACAGAAGGAGAUGGUGUGCCCGAUAUGGGACCGGAGGUGGACGUGAUGACAGGAACUGUAGGAGAGGAACCGGCGGAUGAUUGGAUGGACGACACUCUUGCCCAGUUGCAUGAACCUAGCCGCCGGCACCUGCUUCCAGAGCCGGCAUUCGCACGGAUACGAAAAGAGACGCGUCUACUGUCAGAGGAUGAGGAGGAGUAUGAGAGUGAGGGUAGUAGCCCGGAGUGCACCCAGCAAGAGGGUGAGGUUGACACAGGGGAGGGGGAGGAGAGUGAGUCCGAAUUGUCUGAGGAGGAAUUGGAUGAGAAGACGGUGGGUGGAAGUGGAAAGCAGCGGAGUGUGCAACAGCACCCUAAGCGCCCAAGUGGUAACAGGCCUGUGGUGAUGGAGCAGUCUGCCAGGGGACAGCCGGCAAAGAGGGUAAAGGCUUCUACCUCUGCUCCAGAGUUAGUGGAUACUGGCGCGUACGGCCUGUGUGUCGAAGGAGCUAAGACCCCCAGCAGGGGCAGAAGCAGGGGGCGAGGCAGCCAGGAGCAAGGGAAAGGGCUUGGAGCAAAGCCCCCCAGGGGCAGGGGCAGGGGCAGGGGCAGGGGCAGGGGCUAGCAUAGCUUGUGUAGCUAGUAUUGCCUUUAAGUUGUUGCAUUUAAGCUUGUGAGUUGGNNNNNNNNNNNNNNNNNNNNNNNNNNNNNNNNNNNNNNNNNNNNNNNNNNCGGCAUGUUUAUGCCAUAGGGAGUAUCCCGGUAGCGCGGGAAGCAUCGUUCGCCAAUAUUAAUUAAAGGCCUCUAACGCUGCAGGAAAAUUUUAGUAGAAGAUUUAGAACUAUGUAUGUGUUAAGUUUUAGCGUUUGUUCCCGCUUUGAGGGCGUGAAAUGCCGUGUCAUUGUCCCUAAUAAGUCAUUGUCCCGGCAUUUCAAUUGUCGCCCAUAAGCAUGAACAAGGCGUGGGCGAUCUUGUCGCCGACGGGCGAUGUUGUCCAGGGCGUUCCGGUCAAACUCGUACGCGCCGACCUCAGUACCGUUGUCCAUGGACAUUGUGUUGGAAGGAUACGUUAAGGUUCAGAUAAAAUGAAGAAAUGAAGAAGCGCUCCUUCAUAGUAUGGAGAUCGUAGAAUCUUCAAGCAACUUUUGAACGACCAGGGAGAGUUGCUGAUAGGCGAAUUUGUAUGAAGCUAUAGAAUUCCUUUAUUCUUUCAAGGUAAAUGAAUGCUUAUGUAUUCGUCCGUUAGUAGCGUGAAGCUUUGAACACUCUUUGUACGGCAGAUUCGGCACAAUGUUUUGCCUCAUUGCGAUGUUGCCUGAAAUUUUUGAACAGAAGGGAUCACUGCUCAUGCUGGUGCAGCAAGACAUGUAAGGAGAUGGCCUGGUCACAAUCCAGCAGUCAUAUAUCGACAAUCUCAAGCUAUGACAACUUGUUACAUGUGUCUGUAAUAAAAAAGGGACUUUGCGAUGGUGUGGGGAGCUCUUUGAGUGGUGGGACUGUGGAAAUCCAGUUUGUUUCGCCCGUAACAAGUUUGUUACGGGCGAAACAACGUCCCUCUGAAACGUUUGGAUAUGCCUAUGCAACACAUUUCCUCAAUUUCAUGAACUGCAAGUAUUCUAAUCCAACAUCACCCCAAUCUCAGUGUAAACUAGUCUCCAAAUGUGCCUGCACAAGACUGUCACCCCUGUCACCCGGCAUUCACAUUGCCUUAACCUCCUCAAGCUUGUCGGGGUGUGACACGUGGGCAUGAACCUUGUGACAAUGGGCAUUGUCACAAAGAAACUGGUUGCAAUCAGAAAUGCAUUUUUGCUCAUGCCAGGUUACCGACAUCGGNNNNNNNNNNNNNNNNNNNNNNNNNNNNNNNNNNNNNNNNNNNNNNNNNNUUCACAUGGCGAAGUAUAAGCAUUGGAUGGGGCUGGCGGCCGAGCAAGCGGGCAGGAAGGAGGUGCUCCCGCACAUCACAAUGUUUAUCCCACGUUCGGCGAAUUGCAAGCUUAUGCAGUUUAGGCUUUGCUGUUGGGCACUGGCGGCUAACAGAGCGCGUAAGGGACGGCGUUAUAUACCUAGGGAGGAGCGAGUAUGCCCCUGCUGCGGCACUGAUAGCCACAUCGAGGAUGAGAAACACAUUUUGCUGGACUGUCCGGUUUACGACGGAAUCAGAUCUGAUAUGGGCUUUCCACGCUUCGAACAUAUGAAGGACGCUAUGAAGUGGGAACCUGGACGCCUGGCAAGAAUGCUGGAACGUAUAUGGUCUCACCGCAACUCUAUCGUUCCCUUUGGUCGUUAGUAUACUUCAUUACUUGUUUCGUUGGAAGUGCGAGGUAGGAUGGUGCUUAUAGGCGAUUUGGCAGCCCUUGAGCCCUCGGCUCGUACUAGGGUGGUUUGCAGGUACGGGGAACGCACCCACGACCAUGUAACAACAACAACAACAUUGAAAGGCCGAGUGAGAGGGGUGACAUUGCGUGAUGGCUGUUGUGGAUGGUGGGUGACAGGGGUGACAACAUUGCGCGCAGGCUUGUGUGGAUGCCAGGUGACAGAUCUGACAAAUUGGGUACACAUGUGUGAAUGCUGCGUGACAACAAAGCGUGCAGGCUUGUGUGAAUGCUGCUUGACAUUGGUGGCAUUGGUGACACAAACAUUGUUGUGAAUGCCGGGUGGUGACGCUGACGUUGAUGACACAAACAUUGUUGUGAAUGCCGGGUGACAGGGGUGACAGCCUUGUGCAGGAAGGUUUAUGCAGAUUACAGGUGACAGGUGUGAUGGCCUUGUGCAGUCAAGGAAUGCCAGGUGACACGGGUGACAGUGGUGUGCACACAUGGACAAGGAUAAAUUUAGGUAUUUUAGGUAUAUACCUGAAUCAUAUAUGAAUAUGCUUAAUGGCAUGGUGCCAAGAUGAUGUGGGAGGCAGUGAUAACAGUACUGUCCCAGGUGUGUAGGCAUGCAGGCAGGGUGCUAGGUAGGAUGAAUACCUGACCAUUAACCCACCUGACCAUUAAUCCAAUUAACCGACCGUUAACCCAACUGAUCAUUAACCCAACCGGCCGUUAACCCAACCGGCCGUUAACCCAACCGGCCGUUAACCCAACCGGCCGUUAACCCAACCGACCGUUAACCCAACCGACCGUUAACCCAACCGGGCCGUUAAUGCCAUUCAACCGGCCGGUUGGGUUAAUGGGCCCCAAACGGUCGGUAACCGGCAUGUUUAUGCCAUAGGGCAUGGAGGGAUGUUUAGCUUCAUUCAGGGUUCAUUACUAUCAAUCAUUGCUAUGUGUGCUAGGGAGCUGAACAGGACUACACAUUCGUGCUGCUGCUGCUGCUGCUUCUGCUGAUACACAAUAGCUGCCAACUGUGCGGGAUAUGUGUGUGUGCGGGAUAUGUGCGUGUGCGGGAUAUGUGCGUGUGCGGGAUAUGUGCAUGUGCGGGAUAUGUGCGUGUGCGGGAUAUGUGCGCGUGCGUGCGCGCACACACACGCACGCACGCAUGCAUGCAUGCAUGCAUGGGGGNNNNNNNNNNNNNNNNNNNNNNNNNNNNNNNNNNNNNNNNNNNNNNNNNNUAGGGAGGGUCGGGGAAUUGGGGCUGGAAGGGUUGGGAGGGUCGUGGCACGGGAGUUGGCGGGGUAUGGGGGUUAGGGAGGGUCGGGGAAUAGGGGUUGGGAGGGUUGGGAGGGUCGGGGCACUGGGGUUGGCGGGGUAUGGGGGAUAGGGAGGGUCGUGGAACGGGGUUGGGAGGGUCGGGAGGGUUGGGGCACGGGGGUUGGCGGGGUAUGGGGGAUAGGGAGGGUCGGGGAAUCGGGGCUGGGAGGGUUGGGAGGGUCGUGGCACGGGGGUUGGGGUUGGGAGGGUCGGGGAAUCACAUUUCACAACUCACUUUUCAUGUCCCCCCCUCCCUUUGCCCCCUAAGGCCUGCCACACCAGGGAGGACGUGGAGUGCUGGCACUUCUCCUCAAAGUUACCAAACAGCAUAUAAAGGGCAGCGGGUUCUCUGUCUAGAUCUUUUGCAUGGGGGAUCUUGGAAAACCAGCAAACCUACAUGGCUGGCGUAGCUACACAAACAAAAGCCUUUUUAUCCCCCGGUUUCCGAGCUUAAGUUUUCCCAAAGCUCUCAGCCCAGUGCAGAGAGACUGUACGUCCUGUACUU